rnacentral:lncRNA from 1 species
AUGGUACCUGGAGGCCUUCUAGCUGAGAGGAGGGCAGGGGACCUGCAGGGGAAGGAAGAUGCAAGACUAGUGUGCAGCAGGAUACGGCAUCAGGGGAAGCUUGAUGAAGUUCUCUUAAACCUGUUCCUGGGGUUCUUGGGAUCGAGAUUCGACCCUGAGUUUCUAGGGGUUUUGUCCCCUGCACUCAGGGCUGAGGACACUGUUUUGUACACAGCCCAGUCAUCCAAGGGGUUUCCUUUGAAAGCUCCCUGCCGUGUCCAGGAGUGAGCAGCAUCCUGGACAGUGAGCACACCGCCUGGUGAAGCUUCAGAGGAGAGUGAGUGAUUCACUUAAGGGAAGAGGUGGGGAAACCAGUGGAAUUAACACAUAUUGAGUCCCCGCUGUGGUCAAGCACUCUGCCAGCCCUUUGGAAACCCGGACCUUGACAGUGGUGCUAGGGUGUGGUCCUGCGGCACCCAGGUCACAGGUGAGGAGAUACAGAAGAGGGGUGACUGGCCUGGGUUCGCUUAGCUCAUAAGCAGCUGUGCUGAAAUCUGGAUGCAAACUUCUUGCUCACCCCAAACCGCUCAUCUUCCCAACUGCUUCCUUCUUACCUCCCCAAAAAAACUAAACAGUCUUCAUUAACGCUGUUUUUAUUAUUUUCUUUCCCUGGGUCUGCUCCUCUCCUCAGCCCCUCACUCCCACCUCGGAACCCUCAGCACUAGCUUGGUCUGCUUCUUUAGAUUCUAAGCAGUGACUGAUCUGAGAUACAGUCACUUUGGAAUCUAAAAAGGACACCAGCCCUCAGGCUCUGGGGCUCCUGGGACCUCCCUAAUGGAUCCCAAGAGAAACACCACGUUGUCAAAUCUUAUUUUAUUUCUACCAACAAUUGAAGUCGUGGCUUCAGAAGGAAAUAUUUGAGCACAGGGCACUGAGAUUUGAAUUCACAUCAGACUGCAGCAGAAACAGAAUGCAGGGCCAAUUGUAGGGCACCCUGCCCUCCCGAGUCUAGCUUCUGUGGGUGUCAGAAAACUCAGGGAAACCAAAUGCUCCCUGGGUCCCAUCAUCAAUAAAGUGCUGACUUGUCUCA